rnacentral:rRNA from 1 species
CCUACGGGUGGCUGCAGUGGGGAAUAUUGGACAAUGGGCGAAAGCCUGAUCCAGCCAUGCCGCGUGUGUGAAGAAGGCCUUCGGGUUGUAAAGCACUUUCAGUGGGGAAGAAAGCCUUGGGGCUAAUACCCUCGAGGAAGGACAUCACCCACAGAAGAAGCACCGGCUAACUCCGUGCCAGCAGCCGCGGUAAUACGGAGGGUGCGAGCGUUAAUCGGAAUUACUGGGCGUAAAGCGCGCGUAGGCGGUCUGAUAAGCCGGUUGUGAAAGCCCCGGGCUCAACCUGGGAACGGCAUCCGGAACUGGCAGGCUAGAGUGCAGGAGAGGAAGGUAGAAUUCCCGGUGUAGCGGUGAAAUGCGUAGAGAUCGGGAGGAAUACCAGUGGCGAAGGCGGCCUUCUGGACUGACACUGACGCUGAGGUGCGAAAGCGUGGGUAGCAAACAGGAUUAGAUACCCUGGUAGUC